CAUAUCAUCUUCAUCAGAAGUCAAAGUAUUACGAGUUAUUGAAAUGUGAAGUGAGAGAUGAUUGCAGUGAAAAUGGGCAGCUGUUCAGCUUCAUCCCUCCUCAGUCCUCAGGUGAGAAACCAGGUGAUGAUGCACCAACUACAAUAUCUCCGACUACAAAUAAAUCACCAAUGACAACAGGAAAUAAAUGGACAUCAGAAGAGACAAACAACAUGACAUCUGAAAACAACAAUCAAACUAAACCAGAAGGCUGGUGGAGGAUCAUCGUCGUGCCUCUGGGUUUAGCAUCACUCAUAACAAGUGUUGUGGUGGUCAACAUAUGGACAAG